rnacentral:rRNA from 1 species
GGAGGGUGCGAGCGUUGUCCGGAAUCACUGGGCGUAAAGGGCGCGUAGGUGGCCCGGCAAGCGUGCGGUGAAAGUUCGAGGCUCAACCUCGAAUCGGCCGUGCGAACUGCUGGGCUGGAGCACUGUAGAGGCAGAUGGAAUUCCGGGUGUAGCGGUGGAAUGCGUAGAGAUCCGGAAGAACACCGGUGGCGAAGGCGGUCUGCUGGGCAGUUGCUGACACUGAGGCGCGACAGCGUGGGGAGCAAACAGGAUUAGAUACCCUGGUAGUCCACGCCGUAAACGAUGGGCACUAGAUGCUUGGGGGAGCGACCCCCUGAGUGUCGGCGCUAACGCAUUAAGUGCCCCGCCUGGGGAGUACGGCCGCAAGGCUG